UCAUCCUCCACUCUCUCUCUCUCUCUCUCUCUCUCUCUCUCACUCACUCACUCACUCACUCACUCACUCACUCACUCACUCACUCACUCACUCACUCACUCACUCACUCACUCACUCACUCACUCACUCACUCACUCACUCACUCACCUCACUCACUCACUCACUCACUCACUCACUCACUCACUCACACACACACACAGGACCGGCCCUUCCUGAGAACAGAGAGUAACUCUCCAUCAGAUCAUACCAGUGAGCCCUCUCCUCUUCUCGACCCUAUCAUGGGCACUCAUAUGCCCUGCGAAGACCGUAGCCCUUCCAACUCCCCACCCACCUCAGGUGAGAGGAAUCCUCACAAUAUACAACAUGUACAGUGUACAAUAUACAGCUUAUUUGUUGAGACACAGCCAGUAUGCCCUGGUCUUGUAUAACCCCUGCACUUACUGCAGUGUUUCCCAAACUAGGGAUCGUUGCAAUAAACAAAGCGGUUUCUGUUUUUCGUCUUGCAAAUGUGGCUCUAUCCUUUGACCUGUUUAAGCUACACCAUAUUAUGACCCCAUCGCUGAAAGAUAAGACUUCCAUUUCCCUCUACUUUGCCCAUUAGACUCAAUAGAACCGAAUGGAUAAGACCAGGCACUGGGGGGGUAAAAGAACAUCAUCAAUGAUCAAGUUAUUUUCUACACAGAAGAUCAUAAAACAAUAUUGCCUGAUGAUCUUCUGAAUUUCACAACACCUUUCUGAUGCAUUACAGUCUCUUCAAACCACUUCCUUCAGGUUGAAAGACUUUCAAAAGUACUAGUAAUAGACUGUUAUAGCCCCAAUUAAAAAUGUGCAAAAAAAAGUUUUAGAAAACAGACAGUGCGACGUCAACAGGUUUCUGAUUGUGCUCCCUGGAUAAAGUUUGCCUUACAUCAUUCUCAUCACCUGAUCUUAUAUGCGUUCACAGUUCACGCCCUCCGGCCUGGCGAUAUUAAAGUAGUAGCUGCAGUGGGCGACUCUCUGACUGUAAGUCACCUGUCCCUUGUUUACCUUUUAUCUGUACUAUAGUGGAUAGUACAUUAGUGAAGUAAUCUACAUUACCCCAGUUGUAGGACUGUUGCUCAUCAUAUUUUAUUGCUAGCCGUAUUAUUACACUCAUGCUAUUGCUAUAUUUAUAACACACGCUUUGACCUAACCGGCAGGCGGGCAACGGUGUCGGAUCGGGAUCCAGCGUAAUCAACCUACUGGAUGUCCGGACGCAGUACAGGGGGUUAUCAUACAGGUGGGUCCUUAUCAUAAAGGGUCCUUAUCGCUCCUACAACGACACAGCAGUACAAAGUGCAGAGUCAUUGUCAGUUCGUCUUCCUUUGCUGUGGGUUACCUGGAGGUCGAGGUGAACACUAAUCUAUAUGGCUUACAUCUCCAAAUAGUCUAUAACCAGCCUCUGUGUUUCUCAGUGUCGGUGGAGACGAGAACCUCACCACCGUCACCACUCUUCCCAGUGAGUCCCCUUCGUGUUGCUGUCGUCUUGUCUUCGCUAUC
rnacentral:lncRNA from 1 species